UUCAGGUAAUUCGAAUCUCUCAUUGCUUGAAUAUGCCAUUUACAUGAUUCCGAAGAACAAUGGGCCUCAAAGCGUAUUUAAUAAUGUUUCUCGUUGCUGAAAGGCAUUAUGGAAUAAUGUUUCUAUGUAUUUAAUAACAGGGAAAUGUGUUUCUCAUUUGUGGAAUGUAAAUACUUAGUGUCAAUUUACUGUAAUGGAUUUUUAAACUGUUGCAU
rnacentral:lncRNA from 1 species